rnacentral:rRNA from 1 species
CACGUAGGGCGCAAGCGUUGUCCGGAAUUAUUGGGCGUAAAGAGCUCGUAGGCGGUCUGUUGCGUCCGCUGUGAAAACCCAGGGCUAACCCUGGGCUGGCAGUGGAUACGGACAGACUAGAGGUAGGUAGGGGAGAUGGAAUUCCCGUGAGCGGUGAAAUGCGCAGAUAUCGGGAGGAACACCGGUGGCGAAGGCGGUUCUCUGGGACGGUACUGACGCUGAGACGCGAAAGCGUGGGGAGCGAACAGG